GCAGCCGGCCGGGCCAGGGAGCGUGGCUUGUUCGAGGAGGUGGAUCACCCUUUCUGCGGUGGACGAUUUCGUCGGUCGUGGAAUUUUGGAGUCUGUAUUCUCUGAAGUGUGUAGAAGGAAAGAAUGACGGAAGUCAUCUUAGCCUCAGCAGGAAAGCUGGAGCUCCCACCCAAAGUUGGAGGAAAUUCAGGGUCCCCGAAGUCUUUGCUCUCCCCAUCUGCAUGCAGGCUGCUACCAUGAGGUUGAAUCAGAACACCUUGCUGCUGGGGAAGAAGGUGGUCCUUGUACCCUACACCUCGGAGCAUGUGCCCAGCAGGUACCACGAGUGGAUGAAAUCAGAAGAGCUGCAGCGUUUGACAGCCUCAGAGCCGCUGACCCUGGAGCAGGAGUAUGCCAUGCAGCGCAGCUGGCAGGAAGAUGCAGACAAGUGUACCUUCAUUGUGCUGGAUGCCGAGAAGUGGCAGGCCCAGCCAGGCGCCACCGAAGACAGCUGCAUGGUGGGAGAUGUAAACCUCUUCCUCACAGAUCUAGAAGACCCCACCUUGGGGGAGAUCGAGGUCAUGAUUGCAGAACCCAGCUGCAGGCGUAAGGGCCUUGGCACUGAGGCCGUUCUCGCGAUGCUGUCUUACGGUAAGAAAGUGUGAGCAGGCAAUGCGGGAAGUGGCCAGGCCCCAGGUGAACCUUGUUCAGGUCUGAGGGUUGCGGGCAGGUGAAGGUUCCUCCUCGGCAACUUGGGACAGGAGGGGUGGGGGCAGGCGCCUCCUUACUUGCCCCUGUCUCAUCUCCUUUGCGAGGAGUGACCACGCUAGGUCUAACCAAGUUUGAGGCUAAAAUUGGGCAAGGAAAUGAACCAAGCAUCCGGAUGUUCCAGAAACUUCACUUUGAGCAGGUGGCUGCGAGCAGUGUUUUUCAGGAGGUGACCCUCAGACUGACAGUGAAUGAGUCCGAGCAUCAGUGGCUUCUGGAGCAGACCAGCCACGUGGAAGAGAAGCCUUACAGAGAUGGGUCGGCAGAGCCCUGCUGAUGGCUGGGCCUUGUGGGCAGCCACUCUGUGUGAGCAGGGUGUUGGGCCCACACACUCCAAAGACUAGAGCCCUGAACUGGGAGAGUGCUCCUGGCCCAGCCCCAGGUUGGGAAUCAUCUUUCGAGGCCCUUCAGACUGGGGCAGGGCUUACUGUGGCCUCCUUCCAGCUAGUGGUGUGGCUGAGCAGACUCCAGGGCCAGGGCCAGUUCCCUUCUCCCCUCCUGGCCAAACCCAGACCCAGACUCUAGGAAGCUGGAAUGGAGGGCAGGGAUCCAUGGGAGAUGUCGGGAUGAAGGUGGGAGCCGGAGGUGCAGGGGGACCUGGAGCAUGGAUGGGAGUGGACAGGCCUUUCUUCUUAGAGGCCAGAGGUGCUGCCCUGGCUGGGAGUGAAGCUCCAGGCACUACCAGCUUUCCUGGUUUUCCCAUUUGGUCUGUGUGAAGACCCACCAGGAGCCCCAGCCUCACAGUGUCCACUCAAGGGCAGCUUGGUCCUCUUGUCCUGCAGAAGCAGGCUGGUGUGACCCUGGGAACUUGACUCGGGAACAACAGGUGGUCCAGAGUGAGUGUGGCCUGGCCCCUCAACCUAGUGUCCCUCCUCCUCUCUCCUGGAGCCAGUCUUGAGUUUAAAGGCAUUAGUGUUAGAUACAGCUCCUUGUGGCUGGAGAACACCCCUCUGUUGAUGAAGCUCAGGGGGCACGGAGGAAGCAGAGGCCCCGUGGGGGUGCCCUCCUGAAGAGAGCGUCAGGCUAUCAGCUCUGUCCCUCUGGUGCUCCCACGUCUGUUCUUCACCCUCCAUCUCUGGGAGCAGCUGCACCUGACUGGCCAUGCCGGGGCAGCGGAGGCACAGGCUCAGGGUGGCCGGGCCACCUGGCACCCUAUGGCUUACAAAGUAGAGCUGGCCCAGAGGGGAGCACUCUGACUCCUAACAGUCUUCCUUGCCCUGCCAUCGUCUGGGGUGGCUGGCUGUCAAGAAAGGCUGGGCAUGCUUUCGAAACGGCCACAGGAGGCUUGUUGGGCAUUUUCCAGGUGGGGAAACAGUCUUUUAGAUAAGUAAGGUGACUUGCCUAAGCCCUCCCAGCCCCCUUGAUCUUGGAGUCUCACAGCAGAUUGCAUGUGAACAACUGAAACCGAACACAUGCCUCAGUGUAAAAUGAACAUUAUAAAACGAA